CGCCGAUUAAAGUGGUACGUGAGCUGGGUUUAGAACGUCGUGAGACAGUUCGGUCCCUAUCUGCCGUGGGUGUAGGAAUAUUGAUAGGAUCUGUCCCUAGUACGAGAGGACCGGGAUGGACGUAUCUCUGGUGGACCUGUUGUCGUGCCAACGGCAUAGCAGGGUAGCUAUAUACGGAAUGGAUAACCGCUGAAGGCAUCUAAGCGGGAAACCAACCUAAAAACGAGUAUUCCCUGAGAGUCGUGGAAGACUACCACGUUGAUAGGCUGGGUGUGGAAGCGC
rnacentral:rRNA from 1 species